rnacentral:rRNA from 1 species
ACGGGAGGCAGCAGUAAGGAAUAUUGGUCAAUGGGGGCAACCCUGAACCAGCCAUGCCGCGUACAGGAAGACAGCCCUAUGGGUCGUAAACUGCUUUUAUUGGGGAAUAACCUUGCCUAUGUACAGUUGACUGAAUGUACCCAAGGAAUAAGGAUCGGCUAACUCCGUCCGAGCAGCCGCGGUAAUA